UACAGAGGUGGCGAGCGUUGUUCGGAUUUACUGGGCGUAAAGGGCGCGUAGGCGGCGCGGUGUGUCGGGUGUGAAAUCCAUGGGCCCAACCCAUGAAGUGCGCCCGAAACUGCCGCGCUUGAGUGCGGGAGGGGAGAUCGGAAUGCAGGGUGUAGCGGUGAAAUGCGUUGAUAUCCUGCAGAACACCGGUGGCGAAGGCGGAUCUCUGGAACGCAACUGACGCUGAGGCGCGAAAGUCGGGGGAGCAAACAGG
rnacentral:rRNA from 1 species